GCCAUACACUAGGAAAACCAUAUUUGUAAUUCAAUAGUAUCACAUUGUAAUAAUACCGCCCUCGUUUAUUAUCAUAGCAUAGCAUUUUACUACCAUGAUGGCAAUUGGUGGUAAGGACAUGGCAAGGGUGUCCUAUACUACUAGGAGGAAUCAUAGCUAGCAUAGAUACAAUAAUAAUCCUAAUAAUGAACUAAUAAAAACUAGUGCAUAAUAAAAUAAUGGGAUAAUUUUCAAAGUGAACUUGCCUUUGUUACAGUAGUUCGAGUUCAAACACUCGUCACACUCGCAAGGUUUGCUCUCUGAGAAAACUAUACGAGACAAACAAAUACACACACACAUAAACACACAAUUCAAACAUGACAAAAGAAAGUAUGCUAUGAUGCGAUGCAACAUGUGUCAUGAUUGGAUUUAUUUUAUUUGGGUGAUCAACUGACCCUAAGUAUUGGUAAUUUAAGUUUAAUGCAUUAUGUUUAAAAACAAAAGGCAAAAACAAUUGAUUAAACCCUAAAUUAUAGUUUUAUUGGCAUCAGCCAAAUAAUUUAGUUCAAAAAAUUUAUUUCACUAUCCCAAAGGACACAGGAUGAUUAAACAAAAUUUUAGGCACUGGUUUCAAUUAAAAAGGAUUUCUAAAUAAGUAGUUAUGAUUUAAAUGACAUAAAACUCUAAUCUGUAAUUUGAAUGUGAUUAAAAUAUUCAAAUUUGAAAUUGGAUAGUGCCAAAAGAUUCUAAAUUUCCGAAGGAUUCCGAAAAGGUGUGGAUCGUGAAUUUGGGACAAGUGGUUUAAAAUUUAUGACGGUUUGAAACACUGGGGGCUUUUCUGCAAAUGUGCACUUUUAUUUCGGCUGAAAAAAAUAAAACAAAAACUAAAAAAAAUGAACCUGCCACGUGGCGGCCGGGCACUGGCUGGAGCCUAGGGUUUUACCCGGGGG
rnacentral:lncRNA from 1 species